CACACCACCCAUGACGCUGGCGGCAGGCUUACACGACUGCAGUCGAGCGGUAACAGUGGUGCUUGCACCCGCUGACGAGCGGCGAACGGGUGAGUAACGCGUAGGAAUCUACCUAAUAGAGGGGGAUAGCCCGGUGGAAACUCGGAUUAAUACCGCGAUACGCCCUACGGGGGAAAGCAGGGGAUCUUCGGACCUUGCGCUAUUAGAUGAGCCUGCGUCGGAUUAGCUAGUUGGUGAGGUAAAGGCUCACCAAGGCGACGAUCCGUAGCUGGUCUGAGAGGAUGAUCAGCCACACUGGAACUGAGACACGGUCCAGACUCCUACGGGAGGCAGCAGUGGGGAAUAUUAGACAAUGGGGGAAACCCUGAUCCAGCCAUGCCGCGUGUGUGAAGAAGGCCUUCGGGUUGUAAAGCACUUUCAGUAGGGAGGAAAGCCUGGUUGCUAAUAUCAGCCGGGAUUGACGUUACCUACAGAAGCAGCACCGGCUAACUUCGUGCCAGCAGCCGCGGUAAUACGAAGGGUGCAAGCGUUAAUCGGAAUUACUGGGCGUAAAGCGCGCGUAGGCGGUUUGAUAAGUGAGAUGUGAAAGCCCCGGGCUCAACCUGGGAACUGCAUCUCAUACUGUCAGGCUAGAGUACGGUAGAGGGGGGUA
rnacentral:rRNA from 1 species